GAGCAAGUGUUGAAGGGCGCACGGUGGAUGCCUCGGCAUCAGGAGCCGAUGAAGGACGUGGGAGGCUGCGAUAAGCCUCGGGGAGCUGUCAACCGAGCUGUGAUCCGAGGGUGUCCGAAUGGGGAAACCCGGCCGGAGUGAUGUCCGGUCACCGCUGCCUGAAUGUAUAGGGCAGUGGGAGGUAACGCGGGAAAGUGAAACAUCUCAGUACCCGCAGGAAGAGAAAGCAACAGCGAUUCCCCGAGUAGUGGCGAGCGAAACGGGAUCGAGGCUAAACCGAGUACGUGUCAAAGCCGGCAGGCGUUGCGUGCUCGGGGUUGUUGGGACCACCUGGCUGGGGCUGCCGCCUCAGCAGGGAGUACACGGACAACCAGCUCAAUGCGUUGGAACGCGCAGGCGUAGUGGGUGAGACCCCCGUCGGCGAAAGUUGUGCGUGCUCCCGGGUGUCAUCCCGAGUAGCACGGGAUCCGUGGAUUCCCGUGUGAAUCGGCCAGGACCACCUGGUAAGCCUAAAUACUCCUGAUGACCGAUAGCGGAGAGUACCGUGAGGGAAUGGUGAAAAGUACCCCGAGAGGGGAGUGAAAUAGUCCCUGAAACCGUGUGCCUAUAAUCCGUCAGAGCCUUCGGGUGAUGGCGUGCCUUUUGAAGAAUGAGCCUGCGAGUUAGUGGUGCGUGGCGAGGUUAACCCGUUGUGGGGAAGCCGGAGCGAAAGCGAGUCCUAAAAGGGCGUGGUAGUCGCGUGCUCUAGACCCGAAACCGAGUGAUCUACCCAUGGCCAGGGUGAAGCCCGGGUAAUACCGGGUGGAGGCCCGAACCCACCAGGGUUGAAAACCUGGGGGAUGAGCUGUGGGUAGGGGUGAAAGGCCAAUCAAACUCGGAGAUAGCUGGUUCUCCCCGAAAUGCAUUUAGGUGCAGCGUCGUGUGUUUCGUCGUGCAGGUAGAGCUACUGGAUGGCUGAUGGCCCUUUGAGGGGUACUGAAGUCAACCAAACUCCGAAUGGCAUGGCGUGGAAAGCGCGGCAGUGAGUCGGCGGGGGAAAAGCUCCGUCGUCGAGAGGGAAACAGCCCAGAACACCGGCUAAGGCCCCCAAGUGUGUGCUUAGUGGGGAAGGAUGUGGGACUGCCCGGACAACCAGGAGGUUGGCUUAGAAGCAGCCAUCCUUGAAAGAGUGCGUAAUAGCUCACUGGUCGAGUGGUCCUGCGCCGAAAAUGUAGCGGGGCUCAAGCACACCGCCGAAGCCGUGUCGCCGUGACUGUGUGUCACGGUGGGUAGGGGAGCAUCGUGUGGACGGUGAAGCGGCGGCGCAAGCCAGUCGUGGAGACCAUGCGAGAGAGAAUGCGGGCAUGAGUAGUGAAAGAGGAGUGAGAAUCUCCUCCGCCGGAAGACCAAGGGUUCCUGGGCAAGGCUGAUCCGCCCAGGGUGAGUCGGAGCCUAAGGCGAGGCCGACAGGCGUAGCCGAUGGAUAACGGGUUGAUAUUCCCGUACCCGCCGACGCACGUCCCAUACCGGCGUCGGUGCUCUCGGCACCAUCGGCUCCGGCCUGUUCCGCUGUGCGGGACAGUGUCCGGCGCUCAUGGUGUGGAGACCCGGCUGUCCGGUCAGCGAUGGGGUGACGCAGCAGGGUAGCCCAUCCCGGGCGAUGGUAGUCCCGGGGUAACGGUGUAGGGCGGUGCACAGGAAAAUCCGUGCACCGGUGCCUGAGACCGGAGGCCGAGCCCGUGUGGCGAAGUGGGUGAUCCCGUACUGCCGAGAAAAGCCUCUAGCGAGUGCGUGGGUGGUCCGUACCCCAAACCAACACAGGUGGUCAGGUAGAGAAUACCGAGGCGAGCGAGCAAACCGUGGUCAAGGAACUCGGCAAAAUGUCCCCGUAACUUCGGGAGAAGGGGAGCCGGAUGGCGUGUACACCCUCGGCGGUGGAAGCGCUGGCCGGCCGCAGUGAAUAGGCCCGAGCGACUGUUUACUAAAAACACAGGUCCGUGCGAAGUCGUAAGACGAGGUAUACGGACUGACGCCUGCCCGGUGCCGGAACGUUAAGAGGAGGGGUUAGUGGCCCUUGUGGCUGCGAAGCUCCGAAUCUAAGCGCCGGUAAACGGCGGUGGUAACUAUAACCAUCCUAAGGUAGCGAAAUUCCUUGUCGGGUAAGUUCCGACCUGCACGAAUGGCGUAACGACUUGGGCGCUGUCUCGACCACGGACUCGACGAAAUUGCAAUACGAGUAAAGAUGCUCGUUACGCGCGGCAGGACGGAAAGACCCCGGGACCUUUACUGUAGCUUGGUAUUGGUGUCUGGUUCGGCUUGUGUAGGAUAGGUGGGAGACUGGGAAGCUCACACGCCAGUGUGGGUGGAGUCGCUGUUGAAAUACCACUCUGGUCGUUGCGGGCGUCUAACCUCGAUCCGUGAUCCGGAUCAGGGACAGUGCCUGGUGGGCAGUUUAACUGGGGCGGUUGCCUCCCAAAGGGUAACGGAGGCGCCCAACGGUCCCCUCAGCCUGGUUGGAAACCAGGUGGCGAGUGCAAGGGCACAAGGGGGCUUGACUGUGAGACCGACGGGUCGAGCAGGUGCGAAAGCAGGGCCUAGUGAUCCGGCACUGGCUGGUGGAAGCGGUGUCGCUCAACGGAUAAAAGGUACCCCGGGGAUAACAGGCUGAUCCUGCCCAAGAGUCCAUAUCGACGGCAUGGUUUGGCACCUCGAUGUCGGCUCGUCGCAUCCUGGGGCUGUAGUCGGUCCCAAGGGUUGGGCUGUUCGCCCAUUAAAGCGGCACGCGAGCUGGGUUUAGAACGUCGUGAGACAGUUCGGUCCCUAUCCGCCGCGCGCGUUCGGAGACUUGCGAGAUGCUGUCCCCAGUACGAGAGGACCGGGACGGACGAACCUCUGGUGUGCCAGUUGUUCCGCCAGGAGCACGGCUGGUUGGCUACGUUCGGCACGGAUAACCGCUGAAAGCAUCUAAGCGGGAAGCCGUCCUCCAGAUGAGGUCUCCCCCCGGCAUGACCGGUUAAGGCCCCCACCAGAUCAGUGGGUUGAUAGGCCGGACGUGGAAGCCUGGUAACAGGUGAAGCCGACCGGCACUAAUCGGCCGAGCGACUUGCUCAU
rnacentral:rRNA from 1 species